CAGAGCCGCGGUAAUACAGAGGGUGCGAGCGUUAAUCGGAUUUACUGGGCGUAAAGCGUGCGUAGGCGGCUUUUUAAGUCGGAUGUGAAAUCCCUGAGCUUAACUUAGGAAUUGCAUUCGAUACUGGGAAGCUAGAGUAUGGGAGAGGAUGGUAGAAUUCCAGGUGUAGCGGUGAAAUGCGUAGAGAUCUGGAGGAAUACCGAUGGCGAAGGCAGCCAUCUGGCCUAAUACUGACGCUGAGGUACGAAAGCAUGGGGAGCAAACAGGAUUAGAUACCGAGUAGUCCCUGUCUCUUAUACAC
rnacentral:rRNA from 1 species